UGACUGCGGUGACCAUUAGUGUUACUAGGAACACCUGUGUCCGCUGUGAGGCAGGUCUACACCGGCACCCUGGAACAAGAGCACCUAAACUUGCAGGGUUCUUCUGUGUAUGAUGAUGAAACGCCAAAGAGAGGUCUGGAAACUGUGUCCCUGCACAUCUGCAUGUACAAUCUAAGUUGUGUCAUAUUAUCUAAGGCAUUGAGCUUUCGACCGCUGGGGGUUCAGGAGUCUCACAGCCUGAGGAAUGAAGCAGCUCGGUGGUCUGGUGGUACGACAGCAGGAUGAAGGCUGUGGCCGCGGUGGGCGUCGUCUUUACGCAGACACCGCUGCAACAGAAAACGUAGACGUCUUUGACCUUACGUCAAAACUCUUUUUUCACGUACUGUUGGUAAUUGUACAUAAUAUUCUGAAUGCUUUGAACUAAAAUUCUCAACUAUUGCACCUUUUUAAAACAACAUUUAACCAGUGAUGUCCCGUCAAUGUGUUGCUGAAUCCCUGAAUGAAUUGUGAGUAAAUGAAUGUCAAAACAAGAAAAAGUUUUGGGAGAGAAUGAGUGGGAAGAUCAUGUCUUGAUCAGUAAAGCACAGAAUACAUCUAAGUUUGGAAUUAUCUGUACAUUGAUUAUAAAUUUAACUUGAGGCAAUGUUAUGUUAUGGCUAUUAGAUUUUUUUUUGCUUCUAUACCUUCAAAAAUAUCAUAUAAAUCCAAUAAAUCCAAAAAGAUUCCAGUA